CAGCUGAGAGAGCGGAGAGCCGUGCUGAAAUCAUCUUGGGCUGAUGCUCACAAGUCCGGGUUAAGUAUACAGCAUGCUGUUAACAGUCCCACCACGUCUACUCCUUGUGUUUCUCUGCACAGGCCCGGUGCACCCAGGACGUGAUCCCAGAUGUCCUUCACUCCGGCGCCGGGACACCAUGGACCCUGGGUGCAUCCACAGUGGAGGACGCGAGCCAGGCCCCGGGCGAUGACUUCUCCCCCUCCGGUCUUCGAGAUCUCCACACCGAACCGCUUCGUUCCCCUCCGUGAGACAAGAUGCGACGCUGUGAUCAUUGGAGACUCCAUCGUCCGACACGUCCGUGCUACGUUAGCUGAAGGUAAAGUGCACACUCAUUGUUUGCCUGGUGCUCGAGUUCUCGAUGUUUCUGCGCAGAUACCCGCGAUCCUGAAGGCCGAAGAGAUCCACAGAGUGGUCGUGCUUCACGCCGGGGUUAACAACACCUCGCUGCAGCAGACGGAGACACUGAAAAAGGGACUUCAGCAGCCUGAUCGAGACGGUUCGCAGCACGACGCACGCGGUGACCAUCGUCGUGUCAGGACCACUGCCCACGUAUCGACGAGGACACGGAAAGUUCAGUAGACUUGUUGCUUUAAAUGAAUGGUUGUUGUCAUGGUGUAAAGAACAGAAACUGCUAUUUGUUAAUAACUGGAAUCUUUUCUGGGAGCAUCCUAGGCUGUUUCGCGCUGAUGGCCUGCAUCCCCAGCAGAGUCGGAGCGGAGCUGCUCUCUGACAACAUCUCCAGGACACUUCGCUCCAUGUGACUAAACUCCCUUGGUGAUUGGACAGUCAUCUCAGGUUUCCAGUGAGCAAGGCUGCCCGACCAGUGUUACCGACACUGGCUGUGAGUGAAACUCGGUUCCUCUUAUCUCUGUCCGUUGCGUACAUGCAGUGGCGACAUCAGCAAUUUGGCACUCCAACGAUAGUCAAUCAGUCCAGCCGACACACGACGCAAUCUCUGGGACCAGUACCUAAUCCUGGGCCUAAAUCGGGGCCACUCUUCUUUUAAGAGAGGGUUCUAGGGAACAGCCCAAUUUUUUAGUGCUGUCUGGCGGUUGACAUCUUGGUGUUGCCCGGUUGUGUUAAAAGUCACAAGCUCUUUGAGAGGGCACAGCGCCAGAGUAACAGAGGGCCAGGGACACUGCGGUCGAAUGUUUGGGGAGCGCCAGAGAGGUUGACCAAGCCACUGGUUUCCACCUGAAUGGCCUCAAUUCACCCAGGUGAAGCAAAUGUGAUAAAACCCAUCCACUUUUAUAAGCCACAGAAUAUUAGAUAUUCCCCCAGAUAUAUUUUAAGUGUUUGACCCAUUUGCUUCUUCAAGCCACACCAUAUUUCUAGGUUUCCUGCCCAGAUAGCCACACACCUGUUGGCCCUAUCUUAAAAUCUAGCAGUAGGCUUAGGCCUCCUUAUUCUCAGUAACACAUCGUGUUUCUAUUAUUUUUAUCUCAUUUCAAGUGUUGUGUUUCACUUUGUUCUUUUUCUAUCCUCUGUUCUGUUGUGAUUUGUUUCUUUCAUUUCACAUAGAGACAGUAACCUGUGAGAGCCACCAAAGAAGCUAAAUAGUAGAGCGACAACCAGCAGCCGAGGUCAUCACGCGCCCGCUAGGCUACUGCCUGUCAAAUCACAAGUUAAUUGGCUGCUGAACCGUCUGACUGUUUGGAUCAGUUAGCCCCAAAAUUCUCAUAAACGGCACAGCCCGUAUUAAUAUACGAUACGGAACAAUUCAGGAGAUCACCUAUUCCAUAUAUGUGUAGACUCUUAAAUGAUUAUGGAUUUUAAAUGGACUUCGCAUACCUUUAUUUAAGUAUUUUAUUCUUCUUUUUCUUUUAAUCUUGUAUUUUAACUUAAGUAAAUAUGCUUUGACAAUUCACUGUAACAGCAAAAUAAUUCAGUGUUCCCCUACGACAAACGUCUUUGGGUACCUGUAAUGAAGCUGAUAAAGUCAAUAAACAAACAAUAAUCAUAUAGCUUGUUAACCAUAGAACGAUCUUGCAUUGGUCUUUUUGUGUGUGUGCUGUGCUUCUCUCACCGACAGGGAGUCAGGAUGUUCCAGACAUCCAGUCCAGAAGUCCUUGGGGGCCACCUCUCAACAUGGUUGAAAGCCGUUAUGACCCCCUUCCUGCCCAAGGACGCCAGUAACCUGCAGCACCCAGAGCAACUAGAAACCGAGCUAGAUGAACUGAUGGCACACGAUCCAACCCAAAGCGACUACUACAAAGAACUUGCGAGGAUCCUCAGAAGCCUAGUUCACAUUCUCAUCGCCCAGGCACAGCUCAGUGAACGGAGCAACAUCGACCUUGAACAGCAAGCAGCAACGCUUAAGCUUCAAGCGGAGGAGGCCUGGAAGGACCAGUCCCGAACCCAGAGUCGCCUUGAUCAGCUCCUCCUCGAGACCCAGAACCAGCACGAGAAAGAGGACGACACAGAUCCAAAGCUACAGAAAAAAGUAGAAAAACUUCACAAUGCCCUGCAAGAUCUUCGCCUUGACACAGAUCAAAGAGAACAGCUGGAGAGAGAAGCCAGAAAAGAACUCAACAAAAAACUCCAGCAAGGUGACGCUCUCCUAAAAAUAGCAGAAACUGAACUGAAAGAAAGAGACUAUAAAACCUGGGCCUACAAAACACACUUGCAAGCGGCCCGAGCUAAAAUCAAUGAACUUACUCUGCAGAGAGACGAGCUCCAAGAUGAACUUGACACUGUUCACACAGAACUGAAAGAUUCUGACAGAUUACAGAGUGGCUGGAUUGGAGAAACGCACACCACAAAGUUUCUCCAGGCCCGCCACUCCAACCUUUUCAGCCAAGAACCCAGAGCUGAAAAAGGGGGUGUAAGCUCACGGCUCAAGAAAUCACCAGCCAGCUUACAAGAACACCGGUCAACAACGGAGGGGGGAGAACCCUUCCAGAGAAUGCAUGCCACUAAACCCUGCACGGCUCACAGAGAACUUGACAAGCUAGCCCGAAGCAUCCCUACGUUCAACCCAGAUCCUGCAGGAGGACAUGACGUUCACGCUUAUUUACUAGAUAUUGGCUUUCACUUGCAAACUCUCACCAACGUGACAGAUGUGAACACAUUGUACCUGUUAAAAAUCACGUCCAGCCGUGAUGUGCAUUGUGUUCUGGAUCGUCAACCAGAGACUGUCAAAGCGUACUACCAGCAACUGCUACAAACUUUGACUCUUGAAUUCUCUGAUCCAGACUCAGACCAUGGGCUCCUUAUUGCUAUGGACCUCAAACAGGGCCGACUUGAAAACCCACAGACUUUCUGUAGUCAGCUACGAAUAGCCUACUUCGGAGCAUGCAACGAACCAGGUAUGCAACAGGAUGUCGACUUAAAAACUCUGUUCCUCCGAAACCUACAUGCCAGUUGGAGUUUUCAUCUCAGAGUCCCAGCGUGUCUGCGUAACAUGACUACAAGAGUUACAGAACUUAGCCCACAAAGCUUGCACCAAGCAAAAGACUAUUUAUGAAAAGACUGUGAAAAACCCCAAAGUCUCUGUCUCUGAGCACUGCUUGGAGUUAACCCUAGAGGGCGCCCUACAACACCACAGUCACAGAACUUUUUACAGAGAGUCAAUACUGUUCCAAGCCAGCAGAGCAAGCGCUCUGAAAGAUUCUGGUACCGGCGACCCAAAAAGAGCGGAUCCCCACCGUCCAGGACACAAAGCCCCGACAGCCGGCAGUGGAACCACUCUCGAUAUGACACUGGUAAGCUCAAACCUGAGCCCACGUCAGAAAAACACAGGGCAGCCACGUCUGAGACAGCAGAGAUCCUGAGGGUGCUGAAAGAGCUUCUUUACAUGAAAACUCGCAAGACAGACAAGGAAGAUGAACCAGACAUCAUAUGUCUAAGCAUAAGAACUGAAACCAACACCCUGUCUAACUGCCAUCUGUAAGAGCCAAGCACCCAGAACACUGCUCAUCAUCCACAGACCACAGAGCUAACUGUCACAUCACAAGGUGACAGCAUAACCCAAGCUCCACAGCUGACAGCUGCACACCCUGAACGAGACAGCACAGGUUCUCACACGAGGUACCGCAAACACAAGGUACCAGAAAAUGCUGUUUUGACUACUUGCCUUUGCAGUGAGCUACACAAGACCGGUCCUAACCACCCAUCGUUUGUCACACCUGCCCUGAUGCCAACAUUCCUGGGCAGCCUUGUCAAAAAGGGGGUGGGCCGAAAUUGAGUGAGCAUGGAAGACCUGAUCGACACAGGAUCAAACCUGACGGUGAUUUCAUCUCACCUUUUCAAAAGACUCCAAUUUGAAGCUAAGAGACAAGAUCGAACUCUUACACCUCAAACUUGGAAACAGAAUGUACAGUCGUACAGCCAGAAUGACAUCCGGUUUGAACAGGUUGUUUCCAUUUACCUGACAAUCGGUCUGAUGAGUCUAGUACAUCCCAUUUAUGUCUCACCAAUGAACACUCAUACAUUUCUCAUCGGCAAAGACCUGUUAGACCACUUUGACCCUUUACUGAACUUCAAACAGCUAAAAGACUUUGCUCAAGUGCGAGAACCUCUUUCCCUCCAGCCACACCGGUUGCCAGAGCCAGACUGUCAAUUCACAGAGGUCACAGGAACUCCCACAGAGCCAGACGGUCAGGUCACAGAGGUCACGGGAACCCCACCUGCCAGCCGUGGUUCAAGUUCAAGCCUCUGCAACACGAACAGGGUAUGGUGGUACCAGCUUACACCAAAGGGGUCGCUGUUCGGCUCAACCUGCAAUGUGGUCAAACCUUAAACCACACGCUGGGUUUCUUCCAAUCCUCACCUGAAUGUGUGGAACUCGGACUCACACUUGAAGGCACACCCCUCACUGAAGUGUCAUCUUGUAUAGCCUACAUCCUGUGCAACAACUGCACGGUAACUGACAUUAACAUUCCCAAGGCCUACGGGCUGGGAUGGCUAGUGAGCCAUGACUUUAAUGACUUUGAACUUGUACUACCUGUCAUUGAGUCCAUUCCACCUGCACUGAUACCCGAAGGGAGUACAAACAACAUAUUGUUCACUGCACCCUUCAAAUUCGUCGCCAUCACAUCUGUCAUGUCGGUGAGCAAAGACCAGGUGAGCGGGAUGGAUCUGACAGAUGGAGGAGCCUUACACAGGUUUUCAAUCUCAAGUGCAGCAAAUUCUACAAGAUGCUCAUGCACUUCAGAGCGAUACAGAUCACCAAAAGACUCAGACAAGUUCUGUAUAAGCUCAAAGAAUACUGUGCCAAAGACUUUUUAGACUGUGGUCUUACCAACCUACGCACCCUGAUGCUCCUCCCACUUCUGUCAAACAGUACAAGAUUCCCAUCGCCUCACACAAACCAGUGCAGGAGAUCAUCGAAUCUAUGCUGGAGAAAGGUGUCAUCCAUCCAUGCAACAGCACCUACUCAGCCCUCUUCCGGCCCGCCCUCAAAACUAACUGCGAGUGGCGACCCACCAGUGACUACAGGAAACUGAAUCAACAAGUCACCUUUAUUUAUAUAGUGCUUUAAACAAAAUACAUUGCGCCAAAGCACUGAACAACAUUCAUUUGGAAAACAGUGUCUCAAUAAUGCAAAAUGAUAGUUAAAGGCAGUUCAUCAUUGAAUUCAGUUAUGUAAUCUCUGUUCAGUUUAAAUAGUGUCUGUGCAUUUAUUUGCAAUCAAGUCAAUGAUAUCGCUGUAGAUGAAAUGACCCCAACUAAGCAAGCCAGAGGCAACAGCGGCAAGGAACCGAAACUCCAUCGGUGACAGAAUGGAGAAAAAAACCUUGGGAGAAACCAGGCUCAGUUGGGGGGCCAGUUCUCCUCUGACCAGACGAAACCAGUAGUUCAAUUCCAGGCUGCAGCAAAGUCAGAUUGUGCAGAAGAAUCAUCUUUUUCCUGUGGUCUUGUCCUGGUGCUCCUCUGAGACAAGGUCUUUACAGGGGAUCUGUAUCUGGGGCUCUAGUUGUCCUGGUCUCCGCUGUCUUUCAGGGCAGUAGAGGUCCUUUCUAGGUGCUGAUCCACCAUCUGGUCUGGAUACGUACUGGAUCCGGGUGACUGCAGUGACCCUCUGAUCUGGACACAGACUGGAUCUGGUGGCCACGGUGACCUCGGAACAAGAGAGAAACAGACAAAUAUUAGCGUAGAUGCCAUUCUUCUAAUGAUGUAGAAAGUACGGUGUUAUGUGAAGUGUUCCGGUUCCAGUUUACCUAAUUAAUGCAGCCUAAAAAUCCUUUAACGGAUUUGGAUAUUAAAAGCAUAUUAGUAUGUUAUGUGUAUGCCAGAUUAAAGACCCAUCUCUUUAACCUGGCAUACACAUAACAUACUAAUAUGCUUUUAAUAUCCAAAUCCGUUAAAGGAUUUUUAGGCUGCAUUAAUUAGGUAAACUGGAACCGGAACACUUCACAUAACACCGUACUUUCUACAUCAUUAGAAGAAUGGCAUCUACGCUAAUAUUUGUCUGUUUCUCUCUUGUUCCGAGGUCACCGUGGCCACCAGAUCCAGUCUGUGUCCAGAUCAGAGGGUCACUGCAGUCACCCGGAUCCAGUACGUAUCCAGACCAGAUGGUGGAUCAGCACCUAGAAAGGACCUCUACUGCCCUGAAAGACAGCGGAGACCAGGACAACUAGAGCCCCAGAUACAGAUCCCCUGUAAAGACCUUGUCUCAGAGGAGCACCAGGACAAGACCACAGGAAACAGAUGAUUCUUCUGCACAAUCUGACUUUGCUGCAGCCUGGAAUUGAACUACUGGUUUCGUCUGGUCAGAGGAGAACUGACCCCCAACUGAGCCUGGUUUCUCCCAAGGUUUUUUUCUCCAUUCUGUCACCGAUGGAGUUUCGGUUCCUUGCCGCUGUCGCCUCUGGCUUGCUUAGUUGGGGUCACUUCAUCUACAGCGAUAUCAUUGACUUGAUUGCAAAUUAAAACAGACACUAUUUCAACUGAACAGAGAUGACAUAACUGAAUUCAAUGAUGAACUGCCUUUAACUAUCAUUUUGCAUUAUUGAGACACUGUUUUCCAAAUGAAUGUUGUUCAGUGCUUUGGCGCAAUGUAUUUUGUUUAAAGCACUAUAUAAAUAAAGGUGAUUGAUUGAU